GUUUCCCAUGUAGCUGACGACCCUCCCACCUCCACCCACCGGCAUCCUAAUAAGGAAACAAGAACAAAGACAGAGUGGGAUGGUCGUCACACUAAUUAGAUUAUUAUUUUACGUGAUGUCAUAAUAAUAACUAGGAACUAGGAACUGGGAGCUGACACCAGGAAAACACACGCACACACGCACACACACACGCACACACCCACUCUCUCUCUUAGAGCUCUCCUAUUAUAACAGUAUAGGGUUGGAACAGAGCCCAGAGGGGGGGAGACCUAUAAUGGUGUUGACUUACAGAAACACCUGGCCUGUUUACCCUCACAGUGGGGUGGUUGAGAGCGAGGGAACAAGGAAAAGAAGGGAGGAGUCAGGGGAAUGAGAAGGGGAGGAGUGAGGCAGAGGACAGGUAGUGCAGAAAAAAGGGAGGAGCCGGGGGAAUGAGAAGGGGAGGAGUGAGGCAGAGGACAGGUAGUGCAGAAAGAAGGGAGGAGCCGGGGGAAUGAGAAGGGGAGGAGUGAGGCAGAGGACAGGUAGUGCAGAAAGAAGGGAGGAGCCGGGGGAAUGAGAAGGGGAGGAGUGAGGCAGAGGACAGGUAGUGCAGAAAGAAGGGAGGAGCCGGGGAAUGAGAAGGGGAGGAGUGAGGCAGAGGACAGGUAGUGCAGAAAGAAGGGAGGAGCCGGGGGAAUGAGAAGGGGAGGAGUGAGGCAGAGGACAGGUAGUGCAGAAAGAAGGGAGGAGCCGGGGGAAUGAGAAGGGGAGGAAUGAGGCAGAGGACAGGUAGUGCAGAAAGAAGGGAGAGUCCAAUUAAACCUCAACAGGUUUCCCUCUUUAUGUUAGCUACUCUGGAGAAGAAAAAAAUAUGUGAAGGCUUGCCAAGUAAAUUCUGCCCUUGUUUUCUUGGCACAGCGUAAUCUCAAACAUCAGUGGAAAGCUUUUACAGACAGGAUCUCAGCCUCUGUUUCUAUUAGGAGCUCAAGCCACUACUAACCAGAGAGCAGAUGAACAAGGACAAGUGGAAAUCAUCACCCCGUCCUAAAGUAUGACAACAGAAAAACAAGGAACUGGGAAGAUGCAGAAUGAGAUUUCACACUGUGUUAAUUUUUUCAAUUAAAAUAGCUUUUUAGCAAAGAGACAUUUCACAA